UUUGACGAACAGGAUGGGAGUACACAAAGCUACAGACAUCGAUUGACUGUGGCCCAUCUGCAGAAUAAUUGGAGAUGCUAAAGGGCACUCACAGUGCGUCAUUAUUGUACGAGGAGCCUCAGUGUGCCACGUAGGCUAGAGCUACAAGUUCUAAAUCUGAAUUUUUCACAGUGCAAGUGGCUAUGCGAGUGGCUUUAAUUUUGUAUUUCAGCUCCUAGUACUUUUUCUUUCAGUUCUCAUAUUUUCUUUAAUUUGUGUAGAGAUCCAAAAUUUACACUCAGCACUCUUAAAUCCAGAAAAGAAUAUGAAAUCCCCCCCUUCCCCCUCUCUCCCUUAUCCUCAUGCCCACUACCUCUCUUCCCCUCACGCUGGCGUCUCUCCUUCUCUUCCCCGGGCAUUCUCCUCUUCCCCGGCCAGCGCUUCUCCUCCCCUUCCUCGGCUGGCGCCCCCAGGCGGUGCCUCUCCUCCCCACUUCCCCGGCCGACGCCUCUCUUCCCCUUCCCUGGCCGGCACCCCCAAACGGCGCCUCUCCUCCCCAUUGCCAGUCCCCACUCCCAAUAUCGUCGACGGUGGUGUCCAUGGAGUGGCCUCACGUGGCAGGCGCGGAUCAAGCCUAGCGCAGCCGGUGAGCUCCCAGCGGCACGGAUUGAGGCCGACCUCACCGGUGGGCGAGGAUUGAGGAGGCUAGGCGCAGCCGACGAGCAAGCCGAGGCCGGCCUCCCCAUCCCCUCUGCCGGCUUUUCCUUCCCCUCCCGUUCGCCGCCGCCUUCCCCUCCCUCUCCGACGACGACUUCGAGGUGGACCGCCUUCCGCAGCAGGAGCACAAGGUUGCCGGCGCCAUAGGGGUGGCAAUCCGAGGCAUCCAUGUCGACCGGUGGCGCCGCACCGUGAGGAGUCGAGAUGCGGUCGACGAAACCGCAUCGUGUGAAGUCGAGAUGCGGCAGUGGUAGGGGAGGCAUAGCACGGGUAGCAUAGAAAGUUGUGGACUUUGUUCAUGAAGGGGAGCUACCACUACUGAAGAAGUGAUUUUUUGUUGGGAUUAUAAAAAUCACAUUAGUCUCCGUUUGAAUAAGAUCUUUUUUUAAGUCCCGGCCAAAAGCCGAAGAGAACUUUUAAUAUUCAGUCCCGAUUAAUAUUGUCAA